rnacentral:rRNA from 1 species
GUGGGGAAUAUUGCGCAAUGGGCGAAAGCCUGACGCAGCGACGCCGCGUGAGGGAUGAAGGUUUUCGGAUCGUAAACCUCUGUCAGAAGGGAAGAAACUACGUUGUGCUAAUCAGCAGCGUACUGACGGUACCUUCAAAGGAAGCACCGGCUAACUACGUGCCAGCAGCCGCGGUAAGACGUAGGUGGCAAGCGUUACUCGGAAUUACUAGGCGUAAAGCGCGUGUAGGCGGGUGUCUAAGUCUAUUGUUAAAUCUUCGGGCCCAACCCGAAAAAGUCCAUAGAUACUGGAUGUAUUGAGGAAGGCAGAGGAAGCUGGAAUUCCCGGUGUAGCAGUGAAAUGCGUAGAUAUCGGGAGGAACACCAGUGGCGAAGGCGGGCUUCUGGGCCUUUACUGACGCUAAGACGCGAAAGCUAGGGGAGCAAACAGGAUUAGAAACCCGGGUAGUCC